rnacentral:rRNA from 1 species
ACUUAAAUUGAAGAGUUUGAUCAUGGCUCAGAUUGAACGCUGGCGGCAGGCCUAACACAUGCAAGUCGAGCGGUAGCACAGAGAGCUUGCUCUCGGGUGACGAGCGGCGGACGGGUGAGUAAUGUCUGGGAAACUGCCUGAUGGAGGGGGAUAACUACUGGAAACGGUAGCUAAUACCGCAUAAUGUCGCAAGACCAAAGUGGGGGACCUUCGGGCCUCGAUGCCAUCAGAUGUGCCCAGAUGGGAUUAGCUAGUAGGUGGGGUAACGGCUCACCUAGGCGACGAUCCCUAGCUGGUCUGAGAGGAUGACCAGCCACACUGGAACUGAGACACGGUCCAGACUCCUACGGGAGGCAGCA